rnacentral:rRNA from 1 species
UACAGAGGGUGGCAAGCGUUGCUCGGAAUUAUUGGGCGUAAAGGGGUAGGUAGGUGGUCUCAUUUGUCAGGGGUGAAAGCCCUGGGCUUAAACCCAGGAAGUGCCCUUGAAACGGUGGGACUAGAGUAUUGGAGAGGGUCGUGGAAUUCCCGGUGUAGCGGAUGGAAAUGCGUAGAAGAUCGGGAGGAACAUCUGGAGGCGAAGGCGGCGACCGUGGACAAUGACUGACACUCAACGUACGAAAGCGUGGGGAUCAAACAGGAUAGAAACCCUGGU